rnacentral:rRNA from 1 species
GACGAACGCUGGCGGCGUGCCUAAUACAUGCAAGUCGAGCGGAAUGAUGAAGAAGCUUGCUUCUUCUGAUUUUAGCGGCGGACGGGUGAGUAACACGUGGGCAACCUACCUUGUAGAUUGGGAUAACUCCGGGAAACCGGGGCUAAUACCGAAUAAUCCAUUUUGCUUCAUGGCGAGAUGUUGAAAGACGGUUUCGGCUGUCACUACAAGAUGGGCCCGCGGCGCAUUAGCUAGUUGGUAGGGUAAUGGCCUACCAAGGCGACGAUGCGUAGCCGACCUGAGAGGGUGAUCGGCCACACUGGGACUGAGACACGGCCCAGACUCCUACGGGAGGCAGCAGUAGGGAAUCUUCCACAAUGGACGAAAGUCUGAUGGAGCGACGCCGCGUGAGUGAAGAAGGUUUUCGGAUCGUAAAACUCUGUUGUAAGGGAAGAACACGUACGAGAGUAACUGCUCGUACCUUGACGGUACCUUAUUAGAAAGCCACGGCUAACUACGUG